UAUUAACAUUUUCAUCCAUUUCUACUAUGAAAAACUAGUGUGGUUGACAGAAUAACCAGACAGUUACAUAUAGUGUGCCAUGUGUACCUCGUGUUUAUAUACAGAGAUUAAUUUUCAAUAGUAAAAACGGAUGGGAUUUUUAACA
rnacentral:pre_miRNA from 1 species